rnacentral:rRNA from 1 species
UACGUAGGGUGCAAGCGUUAAUCGGAAUUACUGGGCGUAAAGCGUGCGCAGGCGGUUGUGCAAGACAGAUGUGAAAUCCCCGGGCUCAACCUGGGAAUUGCAUUUGUGACUGCACGGCUAGAGUGUGUCAGAGGGGGGGUAGAAUUCCACGUGUAGCAGUGAAAUGCGUAGAGAUGUGGAGGAAUACCGAUGGGCGAAGGCAGCCCCCCUGGGAUAACACUGACGCUCAUGCACGAAAGCGUGGGGGAGCAAACAG